GUCCACCUCCCACCCGUGUUUAUUUUACCUUGUUGCUUCGGCGGGCCCGCCUUAACUGGCCGCCGGGGGGCUUACGCCCCCGGGCCCGCGCCCGCCGAAGACACCCUCGAACUCUGUCUGAAGAUUGUAGUCUGAGUGAAAAUAUAAAUUAUUUAAAACUUUCAACAACGGAUCUCUUGGUUCCGGCAUCGAUGAAGAACGCAGCGAAAUGCGAUACGUAAUGUGAAUUGCAAAUUCAGUGAAUCAUCGAGUCUUUGAACGCACAUUGCGCCCCCUGGUAUUCCGGGGGGCAUGCCUGUCCGAGCGUCAUUUCUGCCCUCAAGCACGGCUUGUGUGUUGGGCCCCGUCCUCCGAUCCCGGGGGACGGGCCCGAAAGGCAGCGGCGGCACCGCGUCCGGUCCUCGAGCGUAUGGGGCUUUGUCACCCGCUCUGUAGGCCCGGCCGGCGCUUGCCGAUCAACCCAAAUUUUUAUCCAGGUUGACCUCGGAUCAGGUAGGGAUACCCGCUGAACUUAAGCAUAUCAAUAAGCGGAGGA
rnacentral:rRNA from 1 species